rnacentral:tRNA from 1 species
UUCCGUUUCGUCUAACAGGUAGGACAGCAGUCUCUGACACUGUAAAUGUAAGUUCGAGUCUUACAGCGGAAA